AUGGCGAGGCGGCCGCCGUGGUGGAGUCUCAGGGGGCCGACGACCCCACUACUCCUGCUCCUUCUCCUCCUCUCUUUGUUCCCUCUCAGCCGGGAGGAGCUGGGGGUCGACGGGGGCCAAGGCUGGGACCCAGGGGUAGCUGCCGCUACGGGGCCAGGGGCGCGGACCGGUGGCAGAGCCGUAGCUCUUUGUCCCGAGACGCCCGGGGUCCAGGAGGAUGGAGAGCCUGGUCUGGGAGUCAGGGAGCCUAUCUUCGUGGGGCUCCGAGGGGGAAGGCAAAGCGCCCAGAGUGGUCGAGGGGCCCCUGAGCAGCCGGACGCGGGGCUGGAGGCGAAAUAUGGGGUCCAGGCAUUAGACAGCCGCGGGCGAGAAACAGGACAGGGACCAGGGUCUCUGCUAUGCUGGCGCGCAGAGGUCUCCUCUUGCGGGCAGACAGGACCCUUGCGAAGAAAUAAUCUGUCUCCAGAGGCUCUGUCCCCAGGGGUCCCGAGCCUGGAGAACAGCUCGCCCUUCCCUUCCGACCUUCUGGUACGGCCCCGUGGUUACAAGCCGGUGUCCUCCCAGAGAAAUGCUGGGAGAGGCAACCCCCCAAAAAUGGGAACCAUGCGCUGCUGCGGAGAAUUGUGGGCGCCGAGGCGCAGGGGUCAGGGCGAGAGAACUGCGACAUCUCGAGCGGAGAGGACAGCUCCCCAGCCGGACUGUUCCUCCAGGGCUGUGGAAUCUGGCCCUGGGCUGGAUUCAGCACCGCGCACAGAGAGGACAGCUCCCGCGUCUGGUUCAGCACCGCGCGAGUCUCGGACAGCUCCCGAGCCGACGCCCGAGCGCAUGCGCUCGCGUGGUCUCUUCCGCCGUCGCUUCCCCCGGCAGCGCCCCGGGCCGCGCCGCCCGGGGGUCCCGGCUCAGCCGAGAGUCUGGAGAAUACCCCCAGCAAGCAGGGUCCGCCCCCGUCGCGCCACGAACCGCCACCCGCAGUUUCCGCAGUACAACUAUCAGGCGCUAGUGCCCGAGAACGAGGCGGCGGGCACCGCGGUGCUACGCGUAGUGGCGCAGGACCCGGACGCAGGCGAGGCCGGGCGCCUAGUUUACUCGCUGGCUGCGCUCAUGAACAGCCGCUCGCUGGAGCUGUUCAGCAUUGACCCACUGAGCGGCCUCAUCCGCACAGAGGCUGCUCUGGACCGCGAGAGCAUGGAGCGGCACUACCUGCGCGUGACGGCGCAGGACCACGGCUCGCCGCGCCUCUCGGCCACCACCAUGGUGGCCGUUACAGUGGCCGACCGCAACGACCACGCGCCGGUGUUUGAGCAGGCGCAAUACCGGGAGACGCUUCGCGAGAACGUGGAGGAGGGCUACCCCAUUCUUCAGUUGCGUGCCACAGACAGCGACGCGCCCCCCAACGCCAAUCUGCGUUACCGCUUCGUGGGGCCGCCAGCUGCGCGCGCCGCUGCCUCCGCCGCCUUCGAGAUUGAUCCGCGGUCUGGCCUCAUAAGCACCAGCGGUCGCGUGGACCGCGAGCACAUGGAAAGCUACGAGCUGGUGGUGGAGGCCAGCGACCAGGGCCAAGAGCCCGGGCCGCGCUCUGCAACUGUGCGUGUGCACAUCACCGUGCUGGAUGAGAAUGACAACGCGCCCCAAUUCAGCGAGAAGCGCUACGUGGCGCAGGUGCGCGAGGAUGUGCGCCCCCACACGGUGGUACUACGCGUCACAGCCACGGACCGGGACAAGGAUGCCAAUGGACUGGUGCACUACAACAUUAUCAGCGGCAACAGUCGUGGCCAUUUCGCAAUUGACAGCCUCACGGGCGAGAUCCAGGUGGUGGCACCUCUGGACUUUGAGGCAGAGCGAGAGUAUGCCUUGCGCAUCCGGGCGCAGGAUGCAGGCCGGCCACCACUGUCCAACAACACAGGCCUGGCCAGCAUCCAGGUAGUGGACAUCAAUGACCAUACUCCUAUCUUUGUCAGCACACCCUUCCAGGUCUCUGUACUGGAAAACGCACCCCUGGGCCAUUCAGUCAUCCACAUUCAGGCAGUGGAUGCAGACCAUGGAGAGAAUGCCAGAUUGGAGUACUCCCUAACUGGUGUGGCACCUGAUAUGCCCUUUGUGAUAAACAGUGCCACUGGCUGGGUCUCUGUGAGUGGUCCCCUGGACCGUGAGUCUGUGGAGCAUUAUUUCUUUGGUGUGGAGGCCCGAGACCAUGGCACACCCCCACUCUCAGCCUCAGCCAGUGUCACGGUAACUGUGCUAGAUGUUAAUGACAAUCGGCCUGAGUUUACGAUGAAGGAGUACCACCUACGGCUGAAUGAGGAUGCAGCUGUGGGCACCACUGUGGUCAGUGUGACCGCUGUAGAUCGUGAUGCCAACAGUGCCAUCAGCUACCAGAUCACAGGCGGCAACACCCGGAAUCGCUUUGCCAUCAGCACCCAGGGGGGUGUAGGUCUGGUGACACUGGCUCUGCCGCUGGACUACAAGCAGGAACGCUACUUCAAGCUGGUGCUAACCGCUUCUGACCGUGCCCUUCAUGAUCACUGCUAUGUGCACAUCAACAUCACAGAUGCCAACACUCACCGGCCUGUCUUUCAAAGUGCCCACUACUCCGUGAGCGUGAAUGAGGAUCGGCCAGUGGGUAGCACUGUGGUGGUCAUCAGUGCCUCUGAUGAUGAUGUGGGUGAGAAUGCUCGUAUCACCUAUCUCCUGGAGGACAACCUGCCCCAGUUCCGAAUUGAUGCAGACUCGGGGGCCAUUACACUACAGGCUCCACUGGACUAUGAGGACCAGGUGACCUACACACUGGCUAUCACUGCUCGGGACAAUGGCAUCCCACAGAAGGCAGACACCACUUAUGUGGAGGUGAUGGUCAAUGAUGUGAAUGAUAAUGCUCCACAGUUUGUGGCUUCCCACUACACGGGGUUGGUAUCUGAGGAUGCCCCACCUUUCACCAGUGUCCUGCAGAUCUCAGCCACUGACCGGGAUGCUCAUGCCAAUGGCCGGGUCCAAUACACUUUCCAGAAUGGGGAAGAUGGGGAUGGAGAUUUUACUAUUGAGCCUACCUCUGGUAUUGUCCGCACAGUGAGGCGGCUGGAUCGGGAGGCAGUGCCAGUAUAUGAACUUACUGCCUACGCAGUGGACCGAGGUGUGCCCCCACUGCGGACUCCAGUCAGCAUCCAGGUGACAGUGCAGGAUGUAAAUGACAAUGCACCUGUCUUCCCAGCUGAGGAGUUUGAGGUGCGAGUGAAGGAGAACAGCAUUGUGGGCUCCGUGGUGGCUCAGAUCACUGCAGUAGACCCUGAUGAAGGCCCAAAUGCCCAUAUAAUGUACCAGAUUGUGGAGGGGAACAUCCCUGAGCUGUUCCAAAUGGACAUCUUCUCUGGAGAGUUGACUGCACUCAUUGACCUGGACUAUGAGGCUCGCCAGGAAUAUGUGAUUGUGGUACAGGCCACAUCGGCCCCUCUGGUCAGUCGGGCCACUGUGCACGUCCGCCUGGUUGACCAGAAUGACAACAGCCCUGUGCUCAACAACUUCCAGAUCCUCUUCAACAACUAUGUAUCCAACCGCUCAGACACCUUCCCCUCAGGCGUUAUUGGACGCAUCCCAGCUUAUGACCCUGAUGUCUCUGACCACCUUUUCUACUCUUUUGAGCGGGGCAAUGAGCUGCAGCUGCUGGUGGUCAACCAGACCAGUGGGGAGCUUCGACUCAGCCGCAAGCUAGACAACAACCGCCCACUGGUGGCUUCCAUGUUGGUGACUGUCACAGAUGGGCUGCACAGCGUGACGGCUCAGUGUGUGCUGCGCGUAGUCAUCAUCACGGAGGAGUUGCUGGCCAACAGCCUGACCGUGCGCCUCGAGAACAUGUGGCAGGAGCGCUUCCUGUCACCAUUGCUGGGCCACUUCCUGGAAGGCGUGGCCGCGGUACUUGCUACACCCGCCGAGGACGUCUUCAUCUUCAACAUCCAGAACGACACGGACGUGGGGGGCAACGUGCUCAAUGUGAGCUUCUCGGCGCUGGCGCCACGCGGGGCCGGGGCGAGCGCUACGGGUCCCUGGUUCAGCUCCGAGGAGCUGCAAGAGCAGUUAUACGUGCGCCGCGCCGCCCUUGCGGCCCGCUCGCUCCUGGACGUGCUGCCCUUCGACGACAACGUGUGCCUGCGCGAGCCCUGUGAGAACUACAUGAAGUGCGUGUCCGUGCUGCGCUUCGACUCGUCCGCGCCCUUCCUGGCCUCGGCCUCCACGCUCUUCCGACCCAUCCAGCCCAUUGCAGGCCUGCGCUGCCGCUGCCCUCCCGGCUUCACGGGAGACUUCUGCGAGACGGAGCUGGACCUCUGCUAUUCCAACCCGUGCCGGAACGGCGGCGCCUGCGCGCGGCGCGAGGGCGGCUACACCUGCGUGUGCCGCCCGCGCUUCACAGGAGAAGACUGCGAGCUGGACACGGAGGCCGGACGCUGCGUCCCCGGCGUCUGCCGCAACGGGGGUACCUGUGCCGACGGGCCCGACGGCGGCUUCCGCUGCCAGUGCCCGGCGGGCGGCGCCUUCGAGGGCCCGCGCUGCGAGGUGGCGGCGCGCUCCUUCCCUCCCAGUUCGUUCGUCAUGUUCCGCGGCCUGAGGCAGCGCUUCCACCUCACGCUGUCCCUCUCGUUCGCAACGGUGCAGCCAAGUGGGCUGCUCUUCUACAACGGGCGCCUGAACGAGAAGCACGACUUCCUGGCCCUGGAGCUCGUGGCCGGGCAAGUGCGGCUUACAUAUUCCACGGGUGAAUCCAACACAGUGGUCAGCCCUACAGUUCCAGGGGGACUGAGUGAUGGACAGUGGCACACAGUGCAUCUGAGAUACUACAACAAGCCCCGGACAGAUGCCCUGGGGGGUGCUCAGGGCCCCUCCAAGGACAAGGUGGCUGUGCUGAGCCUGGAUGACUGCGACGUGGCCGUGGCUCUACAGUUUGGUGCUGAGAUUGGCAAUUACUCGUGUGCGGCUGCUGGCGAGCAAACAAGCUCCAAGAAGUCCCUGGACCUGACGGGCCCUCUGCUCCUGGGGGGUGUCCCCAACCUCCCCGAGAACUUCCCCGUGUCACACAAGGAGUUCGUUGGCUGCAUGCGGGACCUGUACAUUGAUGGCCGCCGAGUGGACAUGGCAGCCUUUGUCGCGAACAACGGCACCACAGCAGGCUGCCAGGCCAAGCUGCACUUUUGUGACUCGGGCCCCUGUAAGAACAGCGGCUUCUGCUCAGAACGCUGGGGCGGCUUCAGCUGCGACUGCCCCGUGGGCUUCGGUGGCAAAGACUGUAGGCUCACCAUGGCCCAUCCCCAUCAUUUCCGAGGCAAUGGCACCCUGAGCUGGGACUUUGGAAAUGACAUGGCCGUGUCUGUGCCGUGGUACCUGGGGCUGGCAUUUCGGACACGGGCGACGCAGGGGGUCCUGAUGCAAGUGCAGGCUGGGCCACACAGCACGCUCCUCUGUCAGCUGGAUCGGGGGUUGCUGUCCGUGACGGUGACCAGGGGCUCGGGCCGUGCUGCCCACCUCCUCCUGGAUCAGGUGACUGUCAGUGAUGGCCGGUGGCACGAUCUACGGCUGGAAUUGCAGGAGGAGCCAGGGGGCCGGCGGGGCCACCAUGUCCUCAUGGUCUCAUUGGACUUUAGCCUCUUUCAGGACACCAUGGCAGUGGGGAGUGAACUGCAGGGUCUGAAGGUAAAGCGACUCCAUGUGGGAGGCCUGCCCCCCAGCAGUGAAGAGGAGGUUCCUCAGGGCCUGGUUGGCUGUAUCCAGGGGGUAUGGCUCGGUUCCACGCCUUCGGGAUCCCCAGCCCUGCUUCCACCCAGCCGCCGAGUGAACGUGGAACCUGGUUGUGUCGUGACCAAUGCCUGUGCAUCUGGCCCCUGCCCACCCCAUGCUGACUGCCGAGACCUCUGGCAGACCUUUUCUUGCACCUGCUGGCCAGGUUACUAUGGCCCAGGGUGUGUGGAUGCCUGCCUCUUGAAUCCCUGUCAGAACCAGGGGUCAUGCCGCCAUCUCCCAGGAGCCCCCCAUGGCUAUACCUGCGAUUGUGUGGGUGGCUAUUUUGGGCACCACUGUGAGCACAGGAUGGACCAGCAGUGUCCACGAGGCUGGUGGGGGAGCCCAAGCUGUGGCCCCUGCAACUGUGACGUUCACAAGGGCUUUGACCCCAACUGUAAUAAGACAAAUGGGCAGUGUCACUGCAAGGAGUUCCACUACAGACCACGGGGCAGUGACUCAUGUCUCCCAUGUGACUGCUACCCUGUGGGCUCCACCUCUCGUUCAUGUGCGCCCCACAGUGGGCAGUGCCCCUGUCGCCCAGGAGCCCUCGGCCGCCAGUGCAACAGCUGUGACAGUCCUUUCGCAGAGGUGACAGCCAGUGGCUGCCGAGUGCUCUAUGACGCCUGCCCCAAGUCCCUGAGAUCUGGUGUGUGGUGGCCCCAGACCAAGUUUGGCAUGUUGGCCUCAGUGCCCUGUCCUCGGGGGGCCCUGGGUGCUGCCGUACGGCUGUGUGGUGAGGACCAGGGUUGGCUGGAGCCUGACCUCUUCAACUGUACCUCCCCUGCCUUUCGAGAACUCAAUCUGCUGCUGGAUGGCCUAGAGCUGAAUAAGACAGUCCUGGAUACAGUGGAGGCCAAGAAGCUGGCUCAGAGGCUGCGGGAGGUGACUGGCCACACUGACCACUACUUUAGCCAGGAUGUCCGGGUCACUGCCCGACUGCUGGCCCACCUGCUGGCCUUCGAGAGCCACCAGCAGGGCUUCGGGCUGACAGCCACACAGGAUGCCCACUUCAAUGAGAAUCUGCUAUGGGCUGGCUCCGCACUGCUUGCUCCCGAGACUGGAGACCUGUGGGCAGCCCUGGGGCAGCGGGCCCCUGGGGGCUCCCCAGGCAGUGCCGGGCUGGUGCAGCAUCUGGAAGAGUAUGCAGCCACCCUCGCCAGGAAUAUGGAGCUCACAUACCUGAAUCCCGUGGGGCUGGUGACGCCCAACAUCAUGCUCAGCAUUGACCGCAUGGAGCACCCCAGUCCCACCCGGGGGACUCGUCGCUACCCUCGUUACCAUAGCAACCUUUUCCGGGGCCAGGAUGCCUGGGAUCCUCACACACACGUCCUGCUGCCUUCCCAGUCCCCACGGCCAUCCCCACCUGAAGCUCUGUCCACAAGCAGCAGCAGCAUGGAAAACUCCACCACUUCAAGUGCGGCCCCUCCUCCAGCCCCCCCAGAGCCCGAGCCAGAGCCUGGGAUCUCCAUUGUCAUCCUCCUCGUUUACCGCACCUUGGGGGGGCUGCUCCCUGCCCAGUUCCAGGCCGAGCGCCGGGGUGCCAGGCUCCCCCAGAACCCUGUUAUGAACUCCCCGGUGGUCAGUGUGGCUGUGUUCCACCGACGCAACUUCCUAAGGGGUGUCCUGGAGUCCCCAAUCAGCCUGGAGUUCCGCCUGCUACAGACAGCGAAUCGGAGCAAGGCGAUCUGCGUGCAGUGGGACCCACCUGGCCCGGCGGACCAGCACGGCAUGUGGACAGCACGGGACUGCGAGCUGGUGCACAGGAACGGGUCUCACGCCCGAUGUCGCUGCAGCCGGACGGGCACCUUUGGGGUCCUUAUGGAUGCCUCCCCCCGUGAGCGGCUGGAGGGUGACCUGGAGCUGCUGGCGGUAUUCACGCACGUGGUCAUGGCAGUGUCCGUGGCUGCACUGCUUCUGACCGCAGCUGUCCUAUUGAGCCUGCGCAGCCUCAAGUCCAACGUGCGUGGGAUCCAUGCCAACGUGGCGGCUGCCCUGGGCUUGGCGGAGCUACUUUUCCUGCUGGGAAUCCACAGGACCCACAACCAGCUGGUGUGCACUGCGGUCGCCAUCCUCCUGCACUACUUCUUCCUCAGCACCUUCGCGUGGCUCCUUGUGCAGGGCCUACACCUCUACCGCAUGCAGGUGGAACCGCGCAACGUGGACCGCGGCGCCAUGCGCUUCUACCACGCCCUGGGCUGGGGAGUCCCUGCUGUGCUGCUGGGCCUUGCCGUUGGCCUGGAUCCCGAGGGCUACGGGAACCCUGACUUCUGCUGGAUCUCCAUCCAUGAGCCCCUCAUCUGGAGCUUCGCAGGCCCUGUCAUCCUGGUCAUCAUGAUGAACGGGACCAUGCUUCUCCUCGCUGCCCGCACAUCCUGCUCUACGGGGCAGAGGGAGGCCAAGAAGACCUCCAUGUUCAGGAGCCUUCGCAGCUGUUUUCUGCUGCUUCUCCUGGUCAGUGCCUCCUGGCUCUUUGGCCUCCUGGCGGUCAACCACAGUGUCCUGACCUUCCACUACCUCCACGCCACGCUCUGCGGCCUCCAGGGCCUGGUAGUUCUGCUGCUCUUCUGUGUCCUGAAUGCAGAUGCUCGGGCGGCCUGGACGCCGGCCUGUCUGGGCAGGAAGGCAGCGCCCGAGGAAGCGAGGCCGGCGCCUGGCACGGGGCACGGGGCUUACAACAACACCGCCCUCUUUGAAGAGAGUGGCCUCAUCCGCAUCACCCUGGGUGCCUCCACUGUCUCCUCAGUGAGCAGUGCCCGCUCGGGCCGGACCCAGGACCAAGACAGCCAGCGGGGCCGUGGCUACCUCAGGGACAAUGUCCUGGUUCGACAUGGCUCAGCUGCUGACCACACUGACCACAGCCUCCAGGCUCACGCUGGCCCCACUGACCUGGACGUGGCCAUGUUCCAUCGAGAUGCUGGUGGAGCCCCAGACUCUGACUCCGACAGUGACCUGUCCUUGGAGGAGGAGAGAAGUCUGUCCAUCCCAUCCUCAGAGAGCGAGGACAAUGGCCGGACCCGGGGGCGUUUCCAGCGUCCACUCCGCCGCGCAGCCCAGAGUGAGAGGCUCCUCACUCACCCCAAAGAUGUGGAUGGCAAUGACCUCCUAUCCUACUGGCCAGCCCUGGGAGAAUGCGAGGCCACUCCCUGUGCUCUGCAGACCUGGGGCUCCGAAAGGCGCCUGGGGCUGGACACCAGCAAGGACGCAGCCAACAACAACCAGCCAGAUCUGGCCCUGACCAGUGGAGAUGAAACCUCCCUGGGCAGGGCCCAGCGUCAGAGGAAAGGCAUCCUAAAGAACCGACUGCAGUACCCACUGGUGCCACAGACCCGAGGUGCCCCUGAGCUGUCCUGGCGCCGUGCAGCCACCUUGGGCCACCGUGCCGUGCCAGCUGCCUCCUAUGGUCGCAUCUAUGCCGGAGGGGCCACAGGCAGCCUUUCGCAGCCAGCCAGCCGCUACUCUUCUCGAGAACAGCUGGACCUGCUCCUCCGGCGGCAACUGAGCCGUGAGCGACUGGAGGAGGCCCCUGCCCCUAUUCUACAUCCCCUGAGUCGGCCGGGGUCCCAGGAACGCCUGGACGCCGCGCCAGGUCGCCUGGAGCCCAGGGAUCGGGGCAGUACCCUCCCACGGAGGCAGCCACCCAGGGACUACCCUGGCACCAGGGCCGGCCGCUUCGGGUCACGAGAUGCUCUGGACCUAGGGGCGCCCUGCGAGUGGUUGCACACACUGCCCCUGCCCCAUGGUGCCCAGGACCUUGACCCACAGCCCCCGCCUCUGCCCCUGUCUCCCCAGCGGCAACUCUCAAGGGACCCCCUCUUGCCAUCCCGGCCCCUGGAUUCCCUGUCCAGGAGAUCGAACUCAGGGGAGCAGCUGGACCACGUGCCUAGCCGCCACCCCUCACGAGAAGGCCUCGGGCCAGCCCCACAGCUGCUCAGAGUUAGGGAGGACCCAGCCAGUGGCCCUAGCCAUGGCCCCUCCACAGAGCAGCUGGACAUUCUUUCUUCUAUCCUGGCCUCCUUCAACUCCUCAGCUCUCUCCUCCUCUGUGCAGUCCUCCAGCACGCCCUCGGGCCCUCACACCACUGCCACGCCUUCUGCCACAGCCUCUGCGCUUGGGCCCUCCACACCACGCUCUGCCACGUCCCACAGCAUCUCGGAGCUGUCUCCAGACUCAGAAGUUCCCAGAAGCGAGGGGCACUCCUGAGGGGCAGACUCCCAGACUAGGAACGGCUGAGGGCCGUGGAGGAUUUGAGCUAACAGAAGAGACUCCAGGAAUCAGGGGCUGAUCCCAAGGCAGCCUCCCACCCACCCCCCAGCUCUCCUGUUGCUGCAGUGCUGAGGCUCCUCGCUCUGUCCGUGAGCAUGUGAGCAUGUGCGUAACAGGUGCAGGGGGAGGGAACUGAAAGGAGGACUUUUAUACGUUUUGUACCUUUGUAACCAGAGAGAUAUGCUUAUGUUAUUUUUCAGCUUUUCUGUCUCCCGGGGUUCUGAGGCUGGGCUGGAAGGGGAAGGGGACAGAGGGUAAGAGGUGCAGUGUUUGGCCCCAUUUGGGUCCCUGGCAAACGAUAUGCUCUUUCCUCUCAUCUUCCUGGGGUAGAUUCAGAGAGGAGGGGCAAAUAGCCCCUGCCCAUUGAUCUGAAUAUUGUUAGGGCCCAAAGUACAGAAUUGAUCUUUGUGCUUUCUCGGAUGCCCCAAGGGCCAAACUUCAGGGACUGGGGGUUGUCUUGGAAACAGGGGUCCUCUGACUUCCUCACGGGGCUUGCUCAUGCUGCCCCUCCCCGUGGAUGUGUGUGUUUCUUAUGCGGAGUCCCUGCCACUUACUGCCUUAUGUCCUAGGACUGAUGCUGUGGGGCGCUGGUGGAGCAGCACGCCAUGUUUACAGAGCAAGGCUUCCCUUUCUCCCACGCGGUGGGGCUCAGGCCUCUAUGCAGACAUUCCUGCAGAGGGUGGACUAGGGGGUCAUUUGCCAGCCCCUGCUAAGAGCAAACAUUGUCUGUGGUGCCAUCUGAUUCCCUGACACUGCCCUGUGCUAGAAUUUCUUCCUAGGGGUAGGCAGGGGAGCAAGCGGGAGCAGAAGUAAGAGAGUUGAAGACACAGAAUGUAGGUGCCACUGCCUCCCAUGUUUACAGGACCCUCCCUGGCCCUGGGCACCUGGGCUGCGGUAACUAGUUCCAUCCUAUUUCAUUCCCUUCUAAAGGGAGAAAUGACUGUUAGGACCCUGUUCACAAACCUCUUUUAUUACUUUGUCUGACGUCCAGAACUGGGGACUUUAGAUUUUGUUACUUUGUUUACAGGUCAAGAUUUAAAACAUUCUAAAACUGUGUUUACAACUUAAAACCUUGAACUUUUAUACUUUGUUUACAGUUGAAAAAGUGGUCCCCCCCCCCUUUGUUUACAAGUGAAAGAUUGAGAAGGCAGGAGAGGGGCUGGAAGACCCUGGACCUGGCCAUCUUGGGAGGUUUCUAGCUCCUAACUCUCCCAGGCCAAAGGUCAGUCCUGAGCCCCCUGCUGAACAGCAGACCCAGAAGGCCUCCAGAGUAGGCAUCCUCUUAUGGCUAGGAACAAUGGGUUGUGCAGGGUUGUAGGGGGUCUGUGCAGACACCCCCCUUCCCCACACAAACUCUUGGGAGGCAAUUUCCAAGGAGAUUAAAAAUUCUACUUUGCUGACUGGUGCCAAAUCCUGCCAGCCAGGACUCCAGCUCUCCUUACCCAGAAUGACCCCAGCCCUUGAAGGGUUGAGGGGCCUGCUCUGGGAGAAGGGGGGUGUCCUUGCUAUGUCCUAGGUUCUAUAGAUGCCCCUCUCUGGGGGUCCCCUGCUCCAGCCCAGUGGCCCCUUUCCCUGUCUGUGUAAAUUGUUCCGUGAAGCCGCGCUCUGUUUUGGGAAUAAACUUCUAUAGAAAACGGUUAUUGCCUCUUUCUGUUUGGGAGUGGGAGUGGGGUGGGUAGGGUAGGAGGGUGGUUAUGAUUCAGACCAGGCUGACUUUUGGGAGAAAUCUGAGCACUGCCCCUCCCCCCUCAAUAUUCAGCUAUUUUUAGCCCAUUUUAUCUGACAUUUGGACCAAGUUCCCAUCUCUUUCACCCUGAGUUCUGGCCUGGUGCUUUGUGAUCUGGGGCCUGAAGUAUAAGCACAGGUCCUGGGAGUAAGGCGCCAGGGAAAUCCCUUCUCUCCUCAAGGUGUCAGCAUGAUGACUUGGUCUUCAGGGCCUGCAACUCUAACCUGGCAUUUGCCCUGGCCAGGGCUCCAACCAACCUUAGGAACUGCCCUUGCCAACCCCUCAGCCCGUUAACAGCACUGACCACUAGCCUCUCGGACUUGCAGCUGGCCAGGACAUCGUGUUCCUUCCCUGCUCAGGCAGAAGCCUUUGGGCGAGAUGCCAGGCUGUGCCCUGUAGGGGAGGGAAACCUCGCAGCCUCAUUUCAGGUCUGGAUGUCCAGAGUUGAAGGGAGGCCUUGAGCACCUUCGGUGUCAGACACUGGUCUUAAGGGGAAAGCCUGAAGGCGCCGCCCUUAGUGGGAGGCAAAAGAGGCCCCAUAGACCGGAUACCCCAAGGAAAGCUAAGGCUCUGGUUACCAGCAGCGCCCCCAGGCAGCCCAUUUGGGGGGUUUCCCUCCCCAUCCCGCGGGGACCCUCCGAGAGAAGCCAGAACUUGGUAUCCGCCCUGUCGUACUCAGGUACCCCGGCCACGGCCGUAGCCGAGCGGGGAUCCUUAGUCCCAGUUGUCAAGUUCCAGGCCGCAGGGGAGGAAGGGGUUAAAUCUUCCGCCCCGGGGGCUCGCCCCGCCUAAAGAGCGUCCCUUAGGCCCCGCCCGAGCACGCUGAUUGGUCCAAGCCUGCCCCGUCCUGUCCAGGGAUUGGCCCCUUGGAGCCCGCCGUAGGUCCCUGUCUCCCCUCCCGAACGGUAGUGGCCUCCCGCAGGAGCUUUAUCCGCCGCCGCCGCCACCUGGCAGGCAGCCCACUGGCCAUGGGGUUGUCUGAAGCUUCGGGGUGAGUGCUGGGCACGGUUCCGGUUCUCCGCGUCCGUGUCCGCGAGCUGCCGCGUGGCCCCGGUGCAGGCGCCAGCUUGGGUUAGCUCGGAAGGGGUACCGCUAAGUCCGGAGCAGCCAUCCUCCCCCUGCGACGCCUUGGUUUGCAGCUUUGCCGAUUUUCUGCAGGCGGUUGCCCGCUGAAGCGAGGGAUGGGGCGGGAGCCCGCGCGACCCCCGCCCCUGAGGGCUGUGCGGGAAGCCACUCGAGCGCCGCCCGCGGGCUAGCCUCGGGCCGCGGGAGGCGGCUGAGUGUGGAGGAGCCCCGGCCCAGGAGGUGAGCCGCUGGGUGCGUUGGGGCCGGGAGGUCGCCGCAAGGAGUCCAUAGCGGUGGCCUGAGCCCACCCAGCUGUACCACUGACCGGGAAUGAGGGGUCCGGCUGGAAGGACCGAGGUGCCCUCCCCGGCGAAGGGGCCAAGGAUCUAGGCCCCGCCCUCCAAGCACGCGUCCUGGGGAGUUGGGGAGACCUUUAACAAGACCUGAGUGACUCACGGAGGAGGGGCAAGGGGGCUCAAAGAUCUCUGUGAGACCGCGGUGCCAAGAGUCUCUGAGGAUCUAUCUGCCUUGCACCUACUCCACUCCCUUCUCUGACCAGGACAUCCAGGUUAGAGGUUCUUCCCAGGCGAGUUCCUACCCCUCGGGAGAUCCUACCCCUAGGUCAGAGCCCACAGAUCAGAACUUUCCUGAAAACUUUCCCAGCAGGGGAGAGUUUCCCUUCAGGGAAGACUCCUGCGCUGAGAUCUAUUCCCAGGUGAGAGCUUUCAACCAUUUCAGGUGGGAGCCUACGCCAGCCAGACAGAGGGACACACAGGCACUGUUGCCUGUGACACAGGCCAUGGAGCUGA